UGUAUCUGCUGAAACAUACGAGUCUGUCAGGCACUGUCUGCUUGCCACUCGGAAAGCCACGACUUCUGUGGUGGUUUGAUGCUGAAAGACGUGUCUGAGUGGUUGUGGUGGGGUCAGAGGGAUUGCUGGAAAGGGCAGCUGAGGACAGAAGCGACUUUGUCUGUACAAAGUGCAAGCUGGUCUCCAUAUUGGAAGAGAAGAUUGAAGGUCUGGAGCAACAGAUAACAACCCUGCGUUGCAUACGGGAAACUGAGGAUUUUCUGGACAAAACUCAGGAUAGGCUUCUCGGGGCACAAAGCUCUACAGAUAUAGAGCAGGUUGCACAGAGGAGCCAAGAGGCCAGUGAAGAAGCUUGGCAACAUGUGACCUCCAGAAGAGGGCGAGAGGGGGAAAAAGGUUUACAGAGUGGAAGCCGCACAGCAGCAGAGAUACCAACUGAGAGCAGCGGGAGUAUGAUCUCUAAUGUCCUGUGAAUGCCUCCUCUAAGCAGACACUGAUCUCUGUUUGCUUUCUCUGAUCUCUGUUCACUUCCCUACCGUGCUCCCGGAGCAGAAAAGACAACGCUGCUUCUGAACAAGCCAGAAGUUUGGAAGGUUUGAAAUCCAUAUUUGAAUUUUGCAACUGGCUCCUAUCAUCAUAAUGGGCUGAACCAAAUCCCUGGAUCCAAAAUUGUGAGGUGUGUGGCUAUCAAACUGUGAUGUCUUUUGUCUUCUGUGCGCUACACCUUCACAUGCACAGCCACUCUGCUGGUGUGAGACAUGUUGUUCUCAGAGGGGCUGCAGCCUGUUACAGUGCAUUCACACAUACUGCACCCUCUCUUGGAGACCUGACUUUUGUUCUUUCUUGCUUUGUCAUUUCCUUUCUCUCAAAUAAAAGUAGUGUUGGACGGAAAACCAGUGGGUUGGUUUUUGCUGAUGGAAGUGUUGCAAAGCACACCAGGGCUAGAUCCUGGGUUGGCA